rnacentral:rRNA from 1 species
CCCUAUCUCAGCCCCACCCCUCCGGUUUGACCAGGAAAAAAGAAAAAGGAGGACGCGAGACGAGACGAAACGAACGAACCAGAUGAAGGGGUUGAGGGGGGCUUUUUUGUUAGGGUUCGCCGUGGGUGUGCCGGUACCGGCGGGUGGGGAGGAGGGGAGGGAGGGGUUUGGGAUCCAUCGUCGUGGUAGUGGUGGUGGUGGCGCCCUCGGAGGGGCGGAGCGUCCAGGGACUCGGAGGUCGGGCCGCGGCUAGACUCGGGGGCGGCGAUCCAGAGAGCCCUCCCCUUUCGCGCAGAAAAAAAAUCGGAAACAGAAAAGCCGACACGAGCCACCCUUGAGGGCUCGAAGCCGCCUCGUAAAGAGCCCCUCCCGCCCCUACCUCGGCGCCCAACCCUUGUUCAAAGCCGAGCCGGCGUUCUAGCCGUCGCCGAGGAAGCCCCUCUAGAUAGAGCCCUGUUUAUAGGUCUGGUUGCUCCUCCACCGCUAAUUCGACCUUUUACACUUCUGUUUUGUAGGAGUCGACGAGAUGCUUAGUUUCUAAAUGUCCUAAAACGUUCCUCCUUGACCUUAGGGUUUACAGUCCACCAAACCACAUCUUCCUCUGAUGUUACAGAAUCAGUACCUAAACGACCCCGGUUCAGACCUCCUAGAUAAAUUAAAAACGUCGUCUUUUAAUAGAGAGUUCUGACAUGAAUACGAACGGCUAGUCUACUAUUUAGCUCACCUUAAGCAGGUAAGGUUCAGUAAAGACGUAGCUCUGUAAUUCGGUCUAUUAAAAGAGUACCCAGAACCAUCCGCCCGAUUAGUCCAGAUACAAUAUCUAAAACCAGAACGGUUUUUCAUGUCCCUAUGGAGUUGAGUAGUUGUGUAGGGUAUGUCUCUCUUGUUUUUGAACUGACCCUGUCGUUCUAUACGUUCACACUUGUGAGUAGAACCGUAACUUGUUUCAGCUUCUCUACUGAACCUUAGAGAACCUAUACAAGAAUACAUGAAGGAUGCCCCUUCGGAAGGAACCGUUCCAGACUUUCGUCCUUGCUUCUUCGUCUUCAUACUCUUUUAGUCACUCUUUUUUCAACGUUGUAGUUAACUCCGAGACACAGCACCCAUAGGAUGACUCAAGUGUAGUAUAAAGGUAAUAACGGCGAGCGAAGCCAAACUACUGUUCGGACUAAUAAGGAUGGAAUUCGCUGACAAGGCACUGGAGAAAUAGGCACUUCCAAAAGUCAAACUGAUACAUAAACUGACCUGUUAUGACUUCAUGGUCGUUAGAGUUUAACGAUCACGGGGCGGAGCACAACGCCCGGUACCACGUCCUGGAAGACCCAACUGUGGUGGACAUAACGUCUUACUAUCAGUUAGACCACGGCAACUUCCCUCCUAAUCACCAACCAGUCGUUACCUGGCUGCAGCACGGGGUGGUGGGUAACGUUCGCACCCCUGAAGUUUAUUCGUCUUUCGGGGACAUCCUUUACUACGAGGAUAAAGAUUUCUGGGACGCUAUAGACCGAACUUAAAAAACCCCGCCAGUUCACCUAGCAGUUCCUCUCGACGACAAAGUUCAUCGGCCCUACGACACCGUUCGCUGUGAAAACUCGGAAGUGCUAGUGCGUGCUGACUACGUUCGGGACCACGUAAGGCAUCUUGGAGUCCACGAGUCUCUUCGGGUGGCCAACUAAGACGUCUUGGUGUCGCAAGGAGAAGCCGGGCCGUGAGUAGAUUGGGCUUCUUGAUGCUCAGACGGGAGUUUCCAUAACUUCCAGAAUUAAAACUACCGCUACUCUCCCGAGUCAUGAUCAUCGUGACUCUUUUGCUAAGAUGAAGGUGCACACGACACAUAUUUAAUAUUAGACUUCUAUUCGUGUCGUAAAGGACAACUCAAAACCUAGUGUCCUCUACGAUGCUCCUCCUACACUUCACGAUAACGGUCUACUACCCCACCACCAGAAGACCUGUGCCAUUUAUUCACCAGUCGGGCUCCGUGUUCCUUACAUCGAGAGUAUUAAAUUACACUAACCCCACGAAGACAUUUACAGAAAUUAGAAAUAUCAAAUGAUACACCGCGAACAGCUCAAACAACAUAAUAAAGAUAAGGAAUGCCACGCGGAACAGGUCAACGGUAACAGAACCGUGUCGGUUCACGUCGAACAUCCUGAAACAGAAACCUUUGACCUUGAACUGGUACAUCUUAAAAAAGCAGCCAAGUAGCUUGUUUAAUGUUUAAACCGACCAUUGUAAAGGACUGAUAAUUACACGGAAACUCCUCGUUACAGCACACCGAAAAAUCUCUACACAAAGCAUUUCACCGUAGAGAAAAUUGCAGACACGGC